GCAUUAGCAACAGUCGAGUAACAGACUCGAUGCAGCGCGGUGGCACAUUCCACAUACCGUUACGCUUAAGCUUUCAGUCUACGUCGAGUUCGCCACGUGCACGGACACGACGAGUCGAGCGGUUCGCGUGUCCCAAUCACGCUCCAAUCCCAAACAUAGAGACAUAACAAAAACUUCGCGUUGCGGUUCGGUUCGUUUCGGUUGCAAAAUCAAAAUAAAACUCUAGUGCAGAUCGCCACUCAAGAUACUACUUUGGAUGCUCCCAAUAUUUGUUCCUUCCUUUUGGUUAAAGUACUCGCAGUUUCCUUUUUGUUGUAAUUUUUUGUCUGUGGAAAUUCGAAAGUGUGAAAAGUGUGCCAAUGUGCCGGCUGGGGAGAAAUGCGCGCCAAAAAUUGAGAAAUUUACUUCGCGAAAUGUAACAACAACAUUUCAAAGGAAUCUGAAGAACAUUAAAAACUAUUCGUUGACUUAAUCCGAACUCAAGCUGGAAAAUCGAAGAUUUUCAAUAGAAAGAGACCAAAUAAAUGAAACAUUCGACCACCAACAUGGCGUAUGAUUAACAUACGCAUUUUUUGUUCGCCGGGAUUUCUGUGUUACGUGUGGAGGAGGGCGACCCUCUGGUUGAGCGGCGGAGAGGGAGGCGGCAAUAGGACUGAAGCUGGCAAAUCCUCACACAAAAUGCGUCGAAGAAGAAGCAGCAGCGGCAGCAGUCUUAUUAUCAGCAAACAACAACAAC